rnacentral:rRNA from 1 species
UACAGAGGGUGCAAGCGUUAAUCGGAAUUACUGGGCGUAAAGCGCGCGUAGGUGGUUUGUUAAGUUGGAUGUGAAAUCCCCGGGCUCAACCUGGGAACUGCAUCCAAAACUGGCAAGCUAGAGUAGGGCAGAGGGUGGUGGAAUUUCCUGUGUAGCGGUGAAAUGCGUAGAUAUAGGAAGGAACACCAGUGGCGAAGGCGACCCCCUGGGCUGAUACUGACACUGAGGUGCGAAAGCGUGGGGAGCAAACAGG